GAGGAAAGCACUUUGCGAGGAGCCGGUACUGCGCAUGCCUGAUUUUUCUAUCCCAUUUUGUUUGCAGGCGGACGCGUCGGGCAGAGGACUGGGAGCCGUUUUAUCCCAGCAGCGGGGGGGCACCGACCACCUGGUCCUGUACAUCAGCAGAAAGUUGUCAGAAAGGGAGGCCAGAUACAGCACGGUGGAAAGGGAGUGCCUCGCCAUCCGGUGGGCGGUCGGUGCUCUCCGGUACCAUCUGCUGGGACGCCCGUUCAGCCUCUGCUCGGACCACAAGCCCCUCCAGUGGCUCCACCGCAUGAAGGAUGCCAACGCGCGGAUCACCCGGUGGUAUCUCGCUUUACAACCCUACAAUUUCAGAGUGAUCCAUAGGCCGGGGGCGCAGAUGGCCGUGGCAGACUUCUUCUCCCGCUCUCAGGCAGGGGUGGGGGGGGAGUUGGCGCGGCCGGAUGAUGUCCCGGCCUAAGUCUGGCGGUGGAGGUAUGUGGGGGGAGGUUGUGAUUAGCGCACUGCAGGAGCAAAAGGUCACCGCCUCAGUCGAUGGUGUUGAGGGCGGAGCGCCAUCGACUAGGGGCGGGGCAUGUGCGGGACGGCGAGACGCAGCUGGCAGGUGAUUAGAUUUCGCAGGUGGUACGUGUUAAUCUGAUCAUCUGUUGUCUUUAACAGUGAGCGGCCAGCGGAGGAGGAGAGAGGAGAGAGAGACACACAUCUGAAAAGAUUGUACUGAAAAGAUAAAUUGAAACGUGGUGAUUAAAGGCUUGGUGAAACGGCACAACUGACUCCUGGCGUAAUAUAAGGGGAACGGAUUUUGCUGUAAAGACCUCAAGACUUCCUAAAAUGCUGCCUGUUGUCGGUUUGUACCUGGAAUUUUCUCUGGUCCCUCAGAGAAAACCAGCUCUACUUUGCCAUAAUCUGGAAAUCUGUGAUCUGAAAUACAGUACAAGAGCAACAUGAGCAUGCUAAAGGAUACAGAAUGUUCUGUUAUGGAAAACGAGAUCUUUGCUUUCAAAGUGCCGCAAAGCCUAAAUUAAGUUCUUCUGGCGUAAGCAGCAAGAAGAGCAGACGUCUUGAUGCAAACGAGUUAGGACCUGUACUCUCCUGUUUUUUCUACCUUUGUUGGCGGCCUCCAUGUCCUCUUUAUCGAACAUCAAGUUGUAGCCUCGCACUGCUCCUGUGUGGAACUGCAGCUGGAAAAUAACCUCACGCUCGGAAGAAACCUCACUCUUGUGCUGGGCCAGCUCCAGAGUGACACAGAUCCGCCCCCUGUGGCCUGGACCGAUGUGACUGUCAUGCAGAAGUUUAUAAAUUCUCUUGUUGUUCACCUUUCCUCAGUGGGAUGCAAACACAUGAAGGCUUGCGUGUGCUGAUGGGAUCCACGGAGCCAAAAAAGCCUCCAUGGAAUACACGUUGAUAAUCUGAGGAAAACAAGAAGUCAAUUUGGCAUUGAUUCUGGAUAACUAGCUAAAGUUACAGGCUACAGCACAAAAACGUCAACAUCCCUCACCAGGCAUCCCCGGGGGAAGGACACGGCAAUGAUGCGCUCUGUAAUAUAAGUCAGGUCCAGCUCGUAUCCCUCCUCCAUGUUGAAUCUGGGUCCCUCCUGUGGAAAAAGAGGAAAUAUACUCGACACUGCCCAAGUGUGUGGAAGCUGCAGCCCAGCACUUUGAAGAGGAGGCGGGAGAGCCAUAAAGCGGGAACGUUGCAGCCGAGGCUUAAACCGAGCCUCCCAGCGGAAUGAAAGAGGCCAUGUGUCUGAAGAGGUCGUCACUCGGGGAAAACAGAGCUGGGUGUUUAGUAAGUGUGUGUGUGUGAGUGUGGAAGCCUGGCCAAGAGGUCCUUAGGGAUUGUUGAAACUAAUGGUGGGGUUAGCUUAUUUCCCUUGAGACUCCCAAGAAAAAACUGUUGACUAAUGGGAAAUUAAUGAACAGGUUGGCCAGUACUUGGGGUCUGCGUAUCUCCAGGGCAGGGAUGAGAAACGGGGGCUUUGUACUGUUUCGAAUGUGUCAAAGUGCUUUGCUAACCAAAGAUUAGAUGGAAAUCUAAGCAACACUUAACCUCUAUGUGACCUAGUGUUGUGAAAGUCUUAGUUUAUUUGAUGUUCCAAUCAGAAAGGAGAAAAAAUGCUUCACGUAGGAGUAAAUCAUGACUUAGCUUGAGUAGAAAGGUGACAAGUACACCAUCCAAAUUGUAAACUUUUGCACGUAUUGUGUACUGAGAAAUGUCGGGGUGGGGAAAAAAAAGCAUUUACCUUGAUCUGUCCACAUAAUUAAAUUUGGUUUUUUUUCAUGUACCAGUGCUGCACAAAGUAGUUUUUGUGUAAUCCUGCAUUCCAGGGAUAGACAUUCAUUCCUUAAGUAGUACCUCAACUUAAGAGUGUUUUUUAGAUAAGAGCUGUCUCUCGGUCAAUUGUUGUUAAAUUGCAAGCAGAAAUGUUUGGUUACAAGCAU